CCUGGACCGGGAUGGGAAGAGAAGCAGCGAUAGGGACCGUCUAGGCUUCUAGAGUCCUCUAUGCCUUUAGUCUUGGGCUCAUUCCAGACACAGAUGACUCUAAUGAAUUGGACAACAAAGGCAGAUGGUUGUGUUACUGACCUCCAUGAAGAAAUGCCCAAGUUUCCAAGAAGGAAAGCUUGGACUCUGAAGAGAGGUAGAUUGCAACCUCCUCCAGCCCCCUCUCUGAGACUGGUUCAUUUACAGAUGAGGAAACUGAGGCAAACAGAGUUAACUGACUUAUCCUGGAUCACACAGCUAGAAAGUAUCUGAAGCCAGAUUUGAACUCAUGAAGAUGUGUUCUCCUGAUUCCAAGUCCAGUGUUCUCUUCACUUCAGUGUCAUCUGUCUAUGCCCAGAACAUAGUAGGUGCUUAAUAA
rnacentral:lncRNA from 1 species